GGGGACGACUGGUUUUGACAGCAAGGACAGUAGAUUGGUAAGCAUAUCGAGUUAUGAAAUAACACUCGUAAAACCUAAUUUCAACUUUUUAAACGGCGAAGAUAACUACGCUUUAGCUGCAUAAUCCGAAUUAUAGUAGGAUUGGCCUCGGCACACUAGGUGUGCAAGCUUUAUGUCCACGAACAGCCUUGAUUUACGGCGUUUCACUUUUGGAUAUCGUAAAAGUAAAUAUAG
rnacentral:tmRNA from 1 species